rnacentral:rRNA from 1 species
GAGUUUGAUCCUGGCUCAGGAUGAACGCUAGCGGUAGGCUUAACACAUGCAAGUCGAGGGGCAGCACAGGUAGCAAUACUAGGUGGCGACCGGCGCACGGGUGAGUAACGCGUAUGCAACCUACCUAUAACUGGAGAAUAGCCCCCGGAAACGGGGAUUAAUGUUCCAUAAUGUUCAGAGACUGCAUAGUUUUUGGACUAAAGCUCAGGCGGUUAUAGAUGGGCAUGCGUGCCAUUAGCUAGUUGGUGAGGUAACGGCUCACCAAGGCUACGAUGGUUAGGGGGUCUUAAAGGAUGAUCCCCCACACUGGUACUGAGACACGGACCAGACUCCUACGGGAGGCAGCAGUGAGGAAUAUUGGUCAAUGGGCGCAAGCCUGAACCAGCCAAGCCGCGUGAAGGAUGACGGCCCUAUGGGUUGUAAACUUCUUUUUUACGGGAAGAACCCUCCGACGUGUCGGAGACUGACAGUACCGUACGAAUAAGCAUCGGCUAACUCCGUGCCAGCAGCCGCGGUAAUACGGAGGAUGCAAGCGUUAUCCGGAUUCAUUAGGUAUAAAGGGUGCGUAGGCGGAUUUGUAAGUCAGUGGUGAAAUACUAUAGCUUAACUAUAGAACUGCCAUUGAUACUGCAAGUCUUGAGUACAAUUGAGGUAGGCGGAAUGUGUGGUGUAGCGGUGAAAUGCUUAGAUAUCACACAGAACACCGAUGGCGAAGGCAGCUUACUAAACUGUAACUGACGCUGAUGCACGAAAGCAUGGGGAGCAAACAGGAUUAGAUACCCUGGUAG